AUCCAGUUGACGAAUCCCAAAUAGGACGAAACACGCGUCAAAUUGGAU
rnacentral:hammerhead_ribozyme from 1 species